ACGGGCAGCUGGUGAGAAGC
rnacentral:miRNA from 1 species